UGUGGACGGUCACUAUUUCACUCUCUAGUGAUUCUGUAUCAAAGGUGUUGUGACACAAGAAGGACGUAACCAUACCCUGGCGGAUGACGCAAUACUUACGAGAUGACCCUGUUUGUGUCACGGUUUGAGAAAGGAGAUGGACCCAGGAUGCAGAGGUUACAAACAAAAAGAACUGCGGAGCGAUAGGACAUGGGUGUCAACACAAGGCACAGAGAAACAUCACAGAAAUAAGGUGCUGGAGGUCGUCCUGGUGGAAGUACUCGUAACACGACGUGCCAAGAACUUCC